rnacentral:lncRNA from 1 species
ACCGAGUUUAUACUAUAUGUAAUAUAUCGAAAUUGAAAUUCAUAAAAAAUGAAGGUAAUUUAAACCUAAAAUUGCGUCAAACAUUUAAAAAUGCAUAAAAUGAAGAGAUAGUCAUAUAAAUUAUAAUUUUUUUAAUACCAUCGACGUGGAGAGAUUGAUGAACAAGAAGAAGGCUGGCCUAUAUGAUCCAUGUGACUAAAUCUAUCUUUGCUUCCACAUCCUUAAUCCACUCUGGUAUAUAUUCAAACUUUUCCAAAUGAUGCUAGUUUUCUUUAAACGAUCUCUCAAGUUUUUCGGAUGAAGACGAAGAGCGAUUAGGAAAAUCACCACAUAUCUGAGGUGAAGGAGUGACAAGGAGCUUUGUUGAGUGGCCAUGUUGAUUUUUUUUGGUCAAAAUGAGAAGAAGAGGGCAGGUUUUAGGGUUUCAUUUCUUAG